GGCAGGUGAUGGAUUACUCUCACGAUGGUCUGCGGAUGCCCGAGCGGGCAAUGCCGAAAGUGCCAAUGGCUCAGCUGAUGCCAGGAA
ensembl:snoRNA SNORD35A small nucleolar RNA, C/D box 35A